GUUAACGUAACUAGCAUAAUUGAUGGUCACUCUUUUAUCUUUGGAAUGCCCAGGAAAUCCUAGAACAGCUCGAACCGAUUUUCAGUCCUCCCCCUGUCAAAACAUAGUUUGUACUGAAAUUCUGGCAUAGAGUGCAAUUGCAUCAGAGGCUUUGUUCUUGUCGGAAAUGGAGGUAAACAGGUGGUAAUAUUGAAGAUCUGUACUUGCUCGUGUUACUGAGGAGAUGAAGAGUGGCUAUAAAAGUGCAAAACAAAUGCUGGAGUUCCCAUACGAGAAAUUAAGUAGAUGCCAUAUUUUUGGAACUGAUACAAAUCAACAUUGCCAAGAAUGUAGAAUGUAAAAUGAAUAAUGUUAAUUUACAUAAACAUAAAAUGUCACAACAUGUAGAACUUUUAGCUUCAAUGAUACUAUAGUAUACUUUUCUACACUAACAUGAAAGUAUUUUGCACAUUGUUCUGAGAUUU